CAAUAGCGUAUAUUAAAGUUGUUGCGGUUAAAAAGCUCGUAGUUGGAUUUCUGCUGAGAACGACCGGUCCGCCCUCUGGGUGUGUAUCUGGCUCUUUCUUGGCAUCUUCUUGGUGAACGUUGCUGCACUUGACUGUGUGGAGCGCUACCCAGGACUUUUACUUUGAGGAAAUUAGAGUGUUUCAAGCAGGCAUACGCCUUGAAUACAUUAGCAUGGAAUAAUAAGAUAGGACUUUGGUGCUAUUUUGUUGGUUGAGCCUAAAGUAAUGAUUAAUAGGGAUAGUUGGGGGCACCUGUAUUGCGUUGUCAGAGGUGAAAUUCUUGGAUUUACGCAAGACAAACAGCUGCGAAAGCGUCUGCCAAGGAUGUUUUCAUUA
rnacentral:rRNA from 1 species